GACAGUUUCAUACAUAUCAGAAAGACUUUGAUCAGACAUCAGUUCAUUACAGAGUUUGAUAGAAAAUAUGAUUGUCUGGGGUUUAUUUUUUGUAGUUACUAUUAAUGGAGUUUGGAGUGAGAUCAAACUGGACCAGUCUCCCUCUGAGGUGAAAAGACCUGGAGAGACAGUGAAGAUGUCAUGUAUCACUUCUGGUUAUAGCAUGACAAGCUACUAUAUUCACUGGAUACGACAGAGACCAGGAGAAGCUCUGGAGUGGAUUGGGAGGAUCAACCCACAUAGCAACACUCCGAGCUAUGCCAGUUCUUUUCAGAGCCGCUUCAGUUUUACUCAAGAUGUUCCCAGCAGCACUCAGUACCUCGAGGUCCAGAGCCUGACAGCAGCAGAUUCUGCUGUUUACUUCUGUGCUCGAGAAGACACAGUGACUGAAGACAGUGGAGCAGCUGCACAAAAACCUCAACAGAUAUGUGUAGUGAUCAUAAUAACAUCUGGGUUUUCUAAUCAGCAGCAUAUACAUGUGUUUAUAUUUUAGACAAAUUAAAUAUAUUAUAUACACAUUGUCUGCAAAUAUUUACUGUGUUUACACAAUUUGUGUGUGGCUGACCAGCAAAAUAUAGUAUUUUGGAUAAAAUUGUAUUUUUGUUCUUCCCAAAACGUUAUGGGCUUUUAGAAUUUGUUUUAUUUUUUAAAGUGAAACAAGCUGCAGAAGCUUUGGGUUGAGUUGGUAAUAUGGGUGUAUUCAACAUACU